CCUUUUGCUUUGUGUGGCCAUUCUGCAAUUGCCUAUUAUUUAUUAUCAAUGAAUACUAGCCAUGCUCUGAUUGGACAAGGGGCAGCAAU